UAGAGUCUCUGAACUCCCAAACCUUUGUGAACAUACCACUGUUGCUUCGGCGGCGUUCUGGGUGUCUCCGGGCAUCCAGGGUUCCACGCGCCGCCGGGGGUACCAAACUCUUGUCUUUAUAUCGGACUUCUGAGUGAAAUACAAAAUAAAUUA
rnacentral:misc_RNA from 1 species